rnacentral:rRNA from 1 species
AUUGAACGCUGGCGGCAGGCCUAACACAUGCAAGUCGAACGAGGGGCGGACGGGUGAGUAAUGUCUGGGAAACUGCCUGAUGGAGGGGGAUAACUACUGGAAACGGUAGCUAAUACCGCAUACCAUCAGAUGGGCCCAGAUGGGAUUAGCUAGUUGGUGGGGUAAAGGAUCACCAAGGCGACGAUCCCUAGAUGGUCUGAGAGGAUGACCAGCCACACUGGAACUGAGACACGUUCCAGACUCCUACGGGAGGCAGCAGUGGGGAAUAUUGCACAAUGGGCGCAAGCCUGAUGCAGCCAUGCCGCGUGUAUGAAGAAGGCCUUAGGGUUGUAAAGUACUUUCAGCGGGGAGGCGUUACCCGCAGAAGAAGCACCGGCUAACUCCGUGCCAGCAGCCGCGGUAAUUC